rnacentral:misc_RNA from 1 species
UUGCCGUAGGUGAACCUGCGGAAGGAUCAUUCAUAAUAAAGUGUUUUAUGGCACUUUUUAAAAAUCCAUAUCCACCUUGUGUGCAAUGUUAGAUCUCGUCAAUCUUGGCGAGAUUUUUAUACAUCAACUCAUUCUUUAACUAAUUUGUCUGAAAAAUAUUAUGAAUACUUAAUUCAAAAUACAACUUUCAACAACGGAUCUCUUGGCUCUC